GGCGCAGUGGCGGAGUGGUCUAACGCGCAAGACUCGAAUUAACCUAGACUACUACUAGGUGGCUAAAAACCAUCUUCUAGGGAAAUUUGCUAUCUUGUUCCUUCGGGAGCGCCCGUUCGAAUCGGGCCUGCGUCG